UGUGAAUGGAGACUAGCCUGCUGGUAGAGACCUUGGCAGUGACCGCCGUGAGCAAUGAGCCAUGGGCCAACAAUAUUCAAUGCUGUGUACCUGAUGGAUGGUUACUGUCUGAGACUGAGGUUUUUUGGGCCAGGAGUAAAAGGACUUGGUUUGUACUUGAUUGCAUCCUGUGGAUGCUUGCCUACCAACUGACUCAUCCCGACGUGCCAAAGGUCCUGGCUUUCCCCUGUGUGGGUAAGGGGAGAAGAGAGUUCUAAUGAAGACUAUAGCAGACUGAAUUACCCUCUGAGAUGAGGACUUUGCUAUUGCCAUUGCAGAACCACUGGUGGAAGUUGUUGUUAAACAGUGGGUCUUGCAUGCAAGCUCUACAGUUAUGCACAGUAUUUCCAUGACAUCCCAAGCCAUGAGGUCCAUGCUGCCAUAUCCCCCUGUUUAACAAGUGUGGAAACUGAUAAUGGACUCACAAUUGCUGAUGUAUAGGUUCUAAUGUUUUCUAUUGUGGACACGGGACACCCAGACUGAGAACCAAUGGCUCCAGUCUGAUUUAAACAUGGGUCCGUGCUCACACACUCAAUACCUACCCUCUGUGCUCACAAGUCCUGUGUGAGUAAGACUCCAAAUUAUUCUGUUUUGUUUUACUCAAUGGUACGCUCUACCUUAUUAUAGAGUAUACCAUGUAUUGAGACAAGAAUGCCAGUCAUUCUGAGAAACAAAAUGCAACCAUUAGUUGUCAUUUUAAUUAGGGACGAAUAGUUGUGUCGAUCAUCAAACAUGCUUGUAUAAUUGGAUGAGAAGAGGUGUAACACGGGCCAAUGAUGACGAGGUUUCGGGAUUAUAAGUCACGGACUAGCAGAAGAUGCCUCAUGUGACCCUCUCAUGCAGGGGUUGCAAGUCAGGCAUGUGCAUACAGUAGAUAUUAGCCAUGCACUUUCACCAUUUCAUAGUAGAUCACAGAAUCAAGAUACAAAUCUCCAUGCACGGAAAGG
rnacentral:lncRNA from 1 species